ACUCCAGAAGUUUCUUUGUUUAUAAUGUAGCUUCACUCCUGUGUAAGGAAUGCUAAUUGCUAGAACCGUUGCGUUGCCACGCAAUUUGGAUGAGUCCAAGCCUCUCCAGCAUUUGUCCGGUUCGAAUCGUGUGAUAUAUGGUACUGAGGUCAUUCACUCAGCUCACAUUAUAGCUGCUAGCGCAAUGGUAGCGCAGCUUUAGCGGCUAGCGUUAGCGACUAGCGCUAGUAAGUUGUGAGAGUCAGCAGUGUUUCUAAUUACUACCGAGCCUGUCGUGUGUAUGUUGUAGCCCGAGUAGACCCGUGAAUUUGGGUUAUUGCAAGUUCUAUCUAAGUCUAACAUGUGUGUUUUUGCUUAUCUAGUCAGCUACAUUAGCUGUAAACGUGACAUAUUUUUUUAUACAGGCUGACGCAUCCCAGCUACCGAAACGCGAGGAGGUUGCUUCUCAAACUGACACCUUGUAGAAGAGUAGAAGAGUGCUCACCUCAGGAGCAAAGAGUGGUGUCAAGGAAAACAGCUGCAUCCUCCAUCUGUACAGCAGCUGCACUGCUUCGGAUGUCUUCCAACACGUGACAAAAAAGAUCCUCACAUCUCCCCAGCCAACUGCCCAUGACUGUACCUGUUACACUCCAGAAACUAUGCUUUCAACAUAACUAUGAAUCCUACCCGUUCAUUUUGUGGUCUGCAAUUUGAACUGUGACGGUAACUUAUCCAGCAUUAUAGUGCUGGUGCAUUGGUUAAAAAUAAAGUUGGCUUUGACUAUU